GAAUUUUAGAGGAGUAACAGAUGAUUAUAUCAUGACCCAAACUCGCGAUCGUAUUGCUGCAUCAUUGAUGAGCACAUUUAGAUAAAUUGUUAUCCAAAUGGAUAUUUAUCAUUAUACACUUUUGUUAUAUUAAAUAGUUACUGAUAACUUGAAAUAUUGGUAUGUAAUAUUAAUUAGUUUUAAAAAUGACUAUUGUGAAACAGCAUUACAAAAUCACUUCAGCAAAAAACUUUGCCAAACAGCUUUCUAAAAUCACUUCAGCAAAAUCACUAUUAUAUCAGACUCACCAAACGCUCUACAGCUUUUAACAGAAAACACUUUUCCAAACCAAAAUCACUUUUCAGAAAUCACUUUUUCAGAAGCUAGGCCAAACAAGCUCUUACACUCUUUAAGCAAAAAUUGUAUUCUUUGGGCGAAAUUUACACCAUUUCUCUUUCUCCUCCUCCUUCAAAAAUUUACACUAUUUUGAACUCAUAAGUAAAAUUUAUACCAUUUUACACCAUUUACACCAUUUUGGAAAAGCUCCUUCAAAAAUUUACAUCAUUUACAUCAUUUUGGAAAAGCUCCUUGGCGUCGGCGGCGUAUGUUGACGCGUAUCCCGACGAGGAUGAAGCAUGGGUCUCGUAUAGAGAUAGAGUGCUCAAGCUAGACCGCGGCCUCGAAUAGGGUUGUAAAUGGAUAUGGAUACCCGAAUUUUAUCCGAAUUCAAACCCGAACGGAGCGGAUUUUAUCCGAUGUAAAUGGAUAUGGAUUCGGGUAUGGAUAUAAAAAAAAAAAUUCGACGGAUUCGGGUUUGGGUAUGGAUAUUUUUAAAAAAUCCGAAUCCGAAUCCGAAUCCGAACCCGAACCCGAACCUGAACCCGACCCGAACUCGAACCCGACACGAACUCGACACGAACUCGAACAAAUUUAAUAUGAUAUAAUAUAUAAAAAAAAUUCAAGCCAUUAGAUCUGAAUUUAAAGGCCAAAAAAAUACUUACACUUUUAUAAUCUAAACCAAAAUACAUAUAUCUUUAUAACCCAAACCCUAAUAUUAAAAAAUCAAAACCGUCCCAUUUCCCAAAACCUAAUAGUUAAAAGAAGAUAACUACUUCAAAAUCUUUCGAUUUUCCAAACUCUCUCCAUCUCCAAACCCUAAUAGUUAAAACCUUAAAAGACACUUGUGUAGUCUCUUGUUCAUUCUUCUCCAAGA
rnacentral:lncRNA from 1 species